GGGAUGUAGCUCAGUUGGCUAGAGCGCUUGACUGGCAGUCAAGAGGUCGUGGGUUCGAAUCCCAUCUUCUCC
rnacentral:tRNA from 2 species